UACCAUUUCUAGUUUUGCGCAGUGGAUUCUGUUAUUGCUCCCUCACACAGACACACACACCAGUAGUCCUUUGCAACUAUCUGCAUGGGAUUUGGAAUCUGGCACACAAUUAACACCUGGCUUGCAGGUAAGCAACACUACAGUGUACCAAUUAUUUGCAAAAGCACUAAAAUCAAUAGGAAAAGCCAGUAUCAGGAAGCACUGACAUUACCUUAGCAGCGUCCUUUUUCCUAAAUGGAAUUGGGGGGGAAUUGCUCAUUUUGACUCUGUUAGAUAAUUGGGUAUGACAAGUAGUAAAUAAUUUAUUUUAAAGUGCCAAAUGGUGUUUUUGAAAUUUUCAAGCAACCUCUACUGCUCUGUGCCUAUCUUAGCGUCCUCAACUUUAGCUACAUUUCUGUGGAGAAGGAUUAGGCUGCCUGGGUACCGAAAAAGAGCCCUGCACCUUUCAUAGUUGUGGAAAAGAGGAAAGUUCAGCAGGUGUAGCUUGUAAUGGGAACUGUAUCUGCUGAAAUCCCCUCUUCUGUCCAGCUAUUAAAGGGGCAGCAGCCAUGUUCUCUUUUGCAUUUGGCUACCCUAAGAUUAAUACUAAGAACAUAUAAAUAGUAAUCCGCCAUUGGCCCAAUCAAACCCAGGACUGUCUAAAACAGAGCAGCAGUCUUUUUUUCAAGCUCUGAUGAAGGGAUAAUUCCCAGUUUUGCUUUCUAUCUUAUAUAUUUUAGCUGGAGAUGCUGGGCAAGUAUUGGGACUGAAGUUUAGGGGGAAAUAUUAAGGUUGCCGUUACAUAUUGUAAACAAUUACUUUUCUGUGGAGAUUAUGACCAUCCUUUCUAUUUCCAGUGUCCAGGCUGGGAGUGACAUUGCUUACUGUAGCCCAAAUGGCACCACCCACAAAUGAGAGACGCAUCAUCUCUGCCUGGGAGACCAGGGUUCAAAUCCCCACUCGGCCAUGAAGCUCACUGGGUGACCUUGCACCAGGCUCUGCCUCUCAGGGUUGUUGUGGGGAUUAAAUGGGGGAAGGGGAGUGCCAUGUCCACUACCUUGAACGCCUUGGAGAAAAAGAUAUGAUAUAAAUGCAAUAAAUGAAUGAAUAAAG